AUAUCAAUAAGCGGAGGAAAAGAAACCAACAGGGAUUGCCCCAGUAACGGCGAGUGAAGCGGCAAUAGCUCAAAUUUGAAAUCUGGCUCUUUCAGGGUCCGAGUUGUAAUUUGCAGAGGGCGCUUUGGUGUCGGCAGCAGCCUAAGUUCCUUGGAACAGGUCAUCAUAGAGGGUGAGAAUCCCGUAUGUGGCUGCUUGUCUUCACCGUGUAAAGCCCCUUCGAUGAGUCGAGUUGUUUGGGAAUGCAGCUCUAAAUGGGAGGUAAAUUUCUUCUAAAGCUAAAUAUUGGCCAGAGACCGAUAGCGCACAAGUAGAGUGAUCGAAAGAUGAAAAGCACUUUGGAAAGAGAGUCAAAAAGCACGUGAAAUUGUUGAAAGGGAAGCGCUUGCAGCCAGACGUGCCCGUAGUUGCUCAUCUGGGGUUUUCCCCAGUGCACUCUUCUAUAGGCAGGCCAGCAUCAGUUCGGGCGGUUGGAGAAAGACCUGUGUCACGUAGCUCUCUUCGGGGAGUGUUAUAGGGCAGGUGGAAUGCAACCAGCCUGAACUGAGGUCCGCGCAUCUGCUAGGAUGCUGGCGUAAUGGCUGUAAGCGGCCCGUCUUGAAACACGGACCAAGGAGUCUAACAUCUAUGCGAGUGUUUGGGUGUCAAGCCCGAGCGCGUAAUGAAAGUGAACGGAGGUGGGAACCCCUCGGGGCGCACCAUCGACCGAUCCUGAUGUCUUCGGAUGGAUUUGAGUAAGAGCAUAGCUGUUGGGACCCGAAAGAUGGUGAACUAUGCCUGAAUAGGGUGAAGCCAGAGGAAACUCUGGUGGAGGCUCGCAGCGGUUCUGACGUGCAAAUCGAUCGUCAAAUUUGGGCAUAGGGGCGAAAGACUAAUCGAACUAUCUAGUAGCUGGUUCCUGC
rnacentral:rRNA from 1 species